rnacentral:tRNA from 1 species
AUUUAUAUAGUUUAAAUAAAACAUUACAUUUUCACUGUAAAAAUAUUAUUUAUAAUUAUAAAUU